rnacentral:rRNA from 1 species
UACAGAGGGUGCUAGCGUUGUUCGGAAUCAUUGGGCGUAAAGGGCGUGUAGGCGGUUUGUUAAGUCAUGUGUGAAAUCCCUCGGCUCAACCGGGGAACUGCGUCUGAGACUGGAAGGCUUGAAUUCGGGAGAGGGAUGUGGAAUUCCAGGUGUAGCGGUGAAAUGCGUAGAUAUCGGAAGGAACACCAGUGGCGAAAGCGGCUUCCUGGUCCAGCACCGACGUUCAGGCACGAAAGCGUGGGGAGCAAACAGG